rnacentral:rRNA from 1 species
GUUAGGAAUAUUGGACAAUGGGCGCAAGCCUGAUCCAGCCAUGCCGCGUGUGUGAAGAAGGUCUUCGGAUUGUAAAGCACUUUAAGUUGGGAGGAAGGGCAGUAAGUUAAUACCUUGCUGUUUUGACGUUACCGACAGAAUAAGCACCGGCUAACUUCGUGCCAGCAGCCGCGGUAAUACGAAGGGUGCAAGCGUUAAUCGGAGUUACUGGGCGUAAAGCGCGCGUAGGUGGUUUUGUAAGUUGGAGGUGAAAUCCCCGGGCUCAACCUGGGAACUGCCUCCAAAACUGCAUGACUAGAGUACGGUAGAGGGUAGUGGAAUUUCCUGUGUAGCGGUGAAGUGCGUAGAUAUAGGAAGGAACACCAGUGGCGAAGGCGACUACCUGGACUGAUACUGACACUGAGGUGCGAAAGCGUGGGGAGCAAACAGGAUUAGAUACCCCGGUAGUCC